AGCGGCGUAGGGAAGCCUGGUAUCCUGCGGGGCUCAUAACCCCGAGGUCGGUGGUUCGAAUCCACCCGCCGCUA
rfam:Caldivirga sp. JCHS_4 scf1118686606883, whole genome shotgun sequence.